rnacentral:rRNA from 1 species
UACGUAGGUGACAAGCGUUGUCCGGAUUUACUGGGCGUAAAGAGCGCGCAGGCGGUCGAUCAAGUCGAGUGUGAAAGCCCCCGGCUCAACUGGGGAGGGUCAUUCGAUACUGAUCGACUCGAAGGCAGGAGAGGGUAGUGGAAUUCCCGGUGUAGUGGUGAAAUGCGUAGAGAUCGGGAGGAAGGCCGGUGGCGAAGGCGGCAUCCUGGACCGGCAUUGACGCUGAGGAGCGAAAGCCAGGGGAGCAAACGGG